UACGUAGGGGGCAAGCGUUGUCCGGAAUUAUUGGGCGUAAAGAGCGCGUAGGCGGUCCGAUAAGUCGGCUGUGAAAGUCAUGGGCUCAACCCAUGAAAGCCGGCCGAUACUGUCGGACUAGAGUUCGGAAGAGGCGAGUGGAAUUCCUGGUGUAGCGGUGGAAUGCGCAGAUAUCAGGAGGAACACCAAUAGCGAAGGCAGCUCGCUGGGACGUUACUGACGCUGAGGCGCGAAAGCGUGGGGAGCGAACAGG
rnacentral:rRNA from 1 species